AUGUAAAACUGAUACAUGCUGAUAUAUGUUGUUUUAUACAUUAGCUAACAUAAAGCAAAGAAAUGAUAUACAGUGCACUGGCUGCAUUGUAUUUGUUGUAACUUUUCUUGUGCUUGUUUCUAUCUACUGUACUUAAAUAUACUUG